rnacentral:rRNA from 1 species
AUGCAGGUUCUAUUUUAUUGUUCCGAGACAUAUGAUGAUAGCAUUGAGAAUGAGAAAUCUUUGCAAAAUGCACGUAUUAUUAAGGAGUUCUGGAACGAUUACUACGCUAAGCUGUUGGAUAUUGACAAAACGAAAAAGACUUCUAAUGUUGAUAUGUAUCAGGAUGAUGUUAGAAAGUUGUUGAUUAAUGAAAAGAAGAAUCAAAAUGGUGUGUUUUCCGAUACUGAAUUAAUAGAUUUACAGAAUCAAAUUGCAAAUUGCACAAUGAAGUUCGAUGAGGAUAAUCUAUUUAAAGUAACUCCUAACAUAGUAAAGUUCUUGAUUAAUAAAGAUCAGCCUAACGCUAAGCAAUAUCUAAAGGGUUGCCUACCAAGUAGCUUACCUAUGCUUAAGAUGUUUGGUAUCUAUACGCUUGAGGCUAUCAUGAUUCAUGUACUAGGCUUGGUAUUCAACACUCUUCAGGAAUCAUCCGCAGUUAAGGCAGCUAGAUUUAUAGAUCAACUUAAUUCAACUGUACGAGAACAAGCAAGGUUUCUACAAUACAAAGCACCAGGUAGUGGUAAGGUGGAAGCAGUACUCACUAGUAAGGUAGAAUCAGUUAAGGAUGUUGUUCAGCCCAAAGGUGCUAGCAAAAAAGAGAAAAAGAAAAAAAUGCAGUGUCAUUAUGAUAUCGGGAAAUACUUGCUCCAAUUCAUGAUUGAAAGAAAUGUUCUACAUAUAUCAACAGAUAGGGAAAACGGCAAGAAAGGAACCAUGUCCUUGCUUUCUUGCCCCCAAGGCAAAAGGAAAAAUACCACUCUACGCAACCUCGAUGCCACGUACACUACACCCAUCGAUUCCGACCCUUGGAAUACAUAUAUCUGCAUAUAG